rnacentral:lncRNA from 1 species
UAAUUAGUUCUUAACAAAAUAAGAAAGUUUAAAGACAAUCUUUAAAUGCCUAACAAACUUCCUAAGUAGUGAGCAAAAACAUAGUGGCCGAACCCUUCACCACAUUUUCUUUGCUUGUUCUUCUUCUACUUGGCUCCUCCACCUAUAUACAAUUAUACAAGUGAUUAGCCCUUUAUAUCAAAUAUAAAUAUUUAGAAGAUCUAACAUUUAGAAUUGAAGAUAAGAACAUAAACCAUACCUUAAGAGUUGCAAGGUAUAACCUGCAAUUCCUCUUCCAAGGCCCCUCCUUUCCACAGUGGUGGC